rnacentral:rRNA from 1 species
ACGCUCGACAUCUACGGGAGGCAGCAGUGGGGAAUAUUGCACAAUGGGGGAAACCCUGAUGCAGCAACGCCGCGUGAAGGAAGAAGUAUUUCGGUAUGUAAACUUCUAUCAGCAGGGAAGAAAAAGAUGACGGUACCUGACUAAGAAGAACCGGCUAAAUACGUGCCAACAGCCGCGGUAAUCUGAGCGGGCUGGCAAGGC